GAUGAACGCUGGCGGCGUGCCUAAUACAUGCAAGUCGAGCGAACAGACGAGGAGCUUGCUCCUCUGACGUUAGCGGCGGACGGGUGAGUAACACGUGGAUAACCUACCUAUAAGACUGGGAUAACUUCGGGAAACCGGAGCUAAUACCGGAUAAUAUAUUGAACCGCAUGGUUCAAUAGUGAAAGAUGGUUUUGCUGUCACUUAUAGAUGGAUCCGCGCCGCAUUAGCUAGUUGGUAAGGUAACGGCUUACCAAGGCGACGAUGCGUAGCCGACCUGAGAGGGUGAUCGGCCACACUGGAACUGAGACACGGUCCAGACUCCUACGGGAGGCAGCAGUAGGGAAUCUUCCGCAAUGGGCGAAAGCCUGACGGAGCAACGCCGCGUGAGUGAUGAAGGUCUUCGGAUCGUAAAACUCUGUUAUUAGGGAAGAACAAAUGUGUAAGUAACUGUGCACGUCUUGACGGUACCUAAUCAGAAAGCCACGGCUAACUACGUG
rnacentral:rRNA from 1 species